rnacentral:lncRNA from 1 species
GCUGGGAGUUCCUGGCAGCAAGAGUUUCCCACAGGGACAGGAGUGGCCUGGUUACUGAAUAGGGUAGUGGAAAAAAACCCAGGAGGAAGAAGCAGCACUUACUGGAGCCAGAAUGAGGGCAGCUCCGGCGGAGGCAGAGGUGGACCUUCUCGGGCUGGGUGAGGCUGGCGAGCGCUCCUUCCACAGGCAGGCAGCAGAUGGCCCGAGCUCACUCGCCCUGGUGUUUGCCUGGCUCCUAUAUGUCUCUGGGGCAGUGUGGGGCCGUGCCCUCUCUGCCAGUGGCUCCCGGACUCUGAUGAGUGGCCUGGCUGUUUGUGGCGGUGGAGAUGUGUUUUUGUUCUCAGCUGACUCAGUCAGGGCUCAGUGCUGUCAGAGAGGGACUACGAGAGCCUCGUCAUGAUGCGCAUGCGCCAGGCGGCCGAGCGGCAACAGCUGAUCGCACGGAUGCAGCAGGAAGACCAGGAGGGGCCGCCUACGUAGCCCCAGCUCCAGCCAUCCACCCCUCAG